AACGAACGCUGGCGGCAUGCCUAACACAUGCAAGUCGAACGAGACCUUCGGGUCUAGUGGCGCAUGGGUGCGUAACGCGUGGGAACCUGCCCUUAGGUUCGGAAUAACUCCCCGAAAGGGGUGCUAAUACCGGAUAAUGUCUUCGGACCAAAGAUUUAUCGCCUUUGGAUGGUCCCGCGUUGGAUUAGGUAGUGGGUUGGGUAAAAGCCUACCAAGCCGACGAUCCAUAGCUGGUCUGGGAGGAUGUUCAGCCACACUGGGACUGAGACACGGCCCAGACUCCUACGGGAGGCAGCAGUGGGGAAUAUUGGAAAAUGGGCGAAAGCCUGAUCCAGCAAUGCCGCGUGAGUGAUGAAGGCCUUAGGGUUGUAAAGCUCUUUUACCCGGGAUGAUAAUGACAGUACCGGGAGAAUAAGCGCCGGCUAACUCCGUG
rnacentral:rRNA from 1 species